rnacentral:rRNA from 1 species
UUCCAGUACACUAACUUUGUUACGACUUACCUCUUCUUUAGAAGAGGGUGACGGGCGAUAUGAACACCUAAAAUCAAUUUCGUUUUAAAUUUUUAUUUUAAAACUACUUCCAAAUCCUUUUUCGUUUUUUCUUUAGAAAAAAGUCCUUAAAUAAAUUUAAUGGGUAAUUAGUUUCGUCUUUGUCAUUGUCUCCACCUUGACCUGACUUAUUAGAAAUUGUUGAGAGAGAUUAUUAAAAUUCUUUCUUUAGACGGCGGUAUAAAAGAAAUAAAACAAAGAGAAAUUAAACGGGUAAAGUCGGUAAGAAACAAAUUCCUCUGGGAAGAAAAAAGGCCGCCAAAAAGU